UGGGGAAUAUUGGACAAUGGGCGCAAGCCUGAUCCAGCCAUGCCGCGUGGGUGAAGAAGGCCUUAGGGUUGUAAACCCCUUUCACCGGUGACGAUGAUGACGGUAGCCGGAGAAGAAGCCCCGGCUAACUCCGUGCCAGCAGCCGCGGUAAUACGGAGGGGGCAAGCGUUGUUCGGAAUUACUGGGCGUAAAGCGCGUGUAGGCGGUUCGUUAAGUCGACUGUGAAAGCCCAUGGCUCAACCAUGGAAGUGCAGUCGAUACUGGCAGACUGGAGUCCCGGAGAGGGUGGUGGAAUUCCCAGUGUAGAGGUGAAAUUCGUAGAUAUUGGGAGGAACACCGGUGGCGAAGGCGACCACCUGGACGGGUACUGACGCUGAGACGCGAAAGCGUGGGGAGCAAACAGGAUUAGAUACCCCCGUAGUCC
rnacentral:rRNA from 1 species